AUUGAACGCUGGCGGAAUGCUUUACACAUGCAAGUCGAGCGGCAGCACGGGGGCAACCCUGGUGGCGAGCGGCGAACGGGUGAGUAAUACAUCGGAACAUGCCCAGUCGUGGGGGAUAACACUUCGAAAGAAGUGCUAAUACCGCAUACGUCCUGAGGGAGAAAGCGGGGGAUCGCAAGACCUCGCGCGAUUGGAGUGGCCGAUGUCAGAUUAGCUAGUUGGUGGGGUAAAGGCCUACCAAGGCAACGAUCUGUAGCUGGUCUGAGAGGAUGAUCAGCCACACUGGGACUGAGACACGGCCCAGACUCCUACGGGAGGCAGCAGUGGGGAAUUUUGGACCAUGGGGGCAACCCUGAUCCAGCCAUUCCGCGUGAGUGAAGAAGGCCUUCGGGUUGUAAAGCUCUUUCGGCAGGAACGAAACGGCGAGCUCUAACAUAGCUUGCUAAUGACGGUACCUGAAGAAGAAGCACCGGCUAACUACGUG
rnacentral:rRNA from 1 species